GCCAGUAUGGUGAAAUUGGUAGACACGAUAGACUCAAAAUCUAUUGCCAGUGAUGGUGUGUCGGUUCGACUCCGACUACUGGUACCA
rnacentral:tRNA from 1 species